UUUCUUGUCCACAAAGGCAAAAAAGAUAAUAGAUAUACACAAAAAAGAGAGGCCCAUAGAAUAUUGAGGGGACUCCCUUCUUCCAUUUUUAUACAUACACAGCUUCUUCUCCAAAGGGGGCCCAGAAAAAAAAAACAUCAUCAUCAUCAUCGUCUUCAAGAAAAGAAGACGCCAUAUUUGCCUCACCAUUCACUGACCUCACAGAAAACACACAGAGAACACGCACCAUCGUAUUCUUCCACUGUACACGUACACACUCACCUCACCGUACGCACAUACACAGUAAUUAAAAAGCAGGAGAGAUGAGGUGAUUAGACAGAAUCAAGGGAGAGAGAGACGCCUUGAACAGAGGGAAGUCAGUCGACGCCUGAGUUUACCCGAUGAAUUUCUCGCCGGAAUCAGCCACCCUCCACCGGAAUACAACAGCUCAUCACCAAAAGUGUCAUCCCCGAUCGAAACCAACAAAACCGGUUGAACCCGAUUGUUAUGCGUCGAUUCUGGCGACAACUCGCCGGAAAUCGACAUAGUUCAGGGCCGACUUAGGGUUUUGACAUUAAGCUCCACCACCAUAAGAAGCUUAAAAAUAAAGCCGCUGAAUUCUCUUUUACUGUUCGAUCGUUGUUACGAUUUAGUGGAGUUUUAUGUCCUUGGUGGUGUGUCAUCUGUUCAUGUUUUCUUUUUGAGUUAUCGUGGUUUCUUUUCGAAUUUGAUUUCGGAGGAUUUUUGUGCUCGAAUUGGUUCAUAGUCGAGAUUUUGGUGUUCGUUGAGGUUCUCGGAGCGGCUCUCAUCUUUCUUUUCAAGUUAAUCGAAAGCUUUUGAGAUUUGAAGAUGCAUUCAUUCGCCUGGGAAUGCCUCGAGAUUAUAUUGUACUUAUUCACUGGGGAAUGCCCUGAAGUAUUAUGUAUGCAAAGAAGGCUCGUGAUCAAGGCCCGAGGCAUCGGGUAAGACAUUGGAGCAUAGUAUUAGGAUUAAUUUAGAAUAGGAUUUAUAUUUUUCGCAUUUUUCAUUUUGGACUGUAUAAUUGGACUGAACACUAUAUUUUGGACUUGUUUUGUUUUGUUUUGUUUGA